GUGACUUAACCAAGGAUUCACAAGGCAUCUCCAAACAUUUCUAGGAUACGUGUGCAGAACGUGCAGGUCCGUUACAUAGGUAUACAUGUGCCAUGGUGGUUUGCUGAACCCAUCAACCCGUCAUCUUCAAAGAUAAGGCCUUCAGUAUAUCAAGAUCAGUGGAUCAAAGAAACAUCCUCAAGAAACUAAGAAACAACACAAGAUUCUCUCUGAUGAAAUGCUUAAGUAUAAGGAAAAUGAUGGAAGACACAGAAGAGCAGCAGAAUUGGGUAGAAGACUACUACAGAUGCCAGAUCGCCACUUCUGAAAGAAAGGCUUACGACAACUGGCUCUGUGUUUAAGCCUCGCAGAGGGAGAUGCAAGAGAAGAAGGCUGCCUACAAGCAGCACAGAUAGGAAAUGAUUGAAAAACAGAGAGUGCUGGAGAGACACAUUAGUCAGGAGCCAGCUAGUGGACAACCAGGCAUAGAGAAUCAUCCCCAAAGAGCAGAUUCAGGACCUUAUUUGGUUCCCAUGAGGAACAGCAGCUGCAUCCCAACUGAGAGCACAGAGGAGAUAAAGGUCAAUAUGGCUUUGGGAGGGCCCCUUUUUCAGGAUUGCCCUACUUGCUCUACUGCAUGGCUGGCUCUUCAGGACCAUUUGUGGGCUGCC
rnacentral:lncRNA from 1 species